GAUGAACGCUGGCGGCGUGCCUAAUACAUGCAAGUCGAGCGAACAGACGAGGAGCUUGCUCCUCUGACGUUAGCGGCGGACGGGUGAGUAACACGUGGAUAACCUACCUAUAAGACUGGGAUAACUUCGGGAAACCGGAGCUAAUACCGGAUAAUAUAUUGAACCGCAUGGUUCAAUAGUGAAAGACGGUUUUGCUGUCACUUAUAGAUGGAUCCGCGCCGCAUUAGCUAGUUGGUAAGGUAACGGCUUACCAAGGCAACGAUGCGUAGCCGACCUGAGAGGGUGAUCGGCCACACUGGAACUGAGACACGGUCCAGACUCCGACGGGAGGCAGCAGUAGGGAAUCUUCCGCAAUGGGCGAAAGCCUGACGGAGCAACGCCGCGUGAGUGAUGAAGGUCUUCGGAUCGUAAAACUCUGUUAUUAGGGAAGAACAAAUGUGUAAGUAACUAUGCACGUCUGGACGGUACCUAAUCAGAAACCCACGGCUAACUACGU
rnacentral:rRNA from 1 species